rnacentral:rRNA from 1 species
UACGUAGGGGGCAAGCGUUGUCCGGAAUCAUUGGGCGUAAAGCGCGUGUAGGCGGCUUGGUAAGUCUGCUCUGAAAGCCCGGGGCUCAACCCCGGAACGGCAUCCGAUACUGGCGGGCUUGAGACCGGGAGAGGAGGGUGGAAUACCCAGUGUAGAGGUGAAAUUCGUAGAUAUUGGGUGGAACACCGGUGGCGAAAGCGGCUCUCUGGCCCGGAUCUGACGCUGAGGCGCGAAAGCGUGGGGAGCAAACAGG